CGCGUAGGCGGUGCUCUAAGUCCCGUGUGAAAUCCCCCGGCUCAACUGGGGAAUGGCACGGGAAACUGGAGUGCUUGAGUUCGGGAGAGGGAAGCGGAAUUCCGGGUGUAGCGGUGAAAUGCGUAGAUAUCCGGAGGAACACCGGUGGCGAAGGCGGCUUCCUGGACCGACACUGACGCUGAGGCGCGAAAGCUAGGGGAGCAAACG
rnacentral:rRNA from 1 species